UAGCAAACUACGCUCCAACCUGGAAAGGA
rnacentral:sRNA from 1 species